CAGCAGCCGCGGUAAUACGUAGGGUGCAAGCGUUAAUCGGAAUUACUGGGCGUAAAGCGUGCGCAGGCGGUUAUAUAAGACAGAUGUGAAAUCCCCGGGCUCAACCUGGGAACUGCAUUUGUGACUGUAUAGCUAGAGUACGGCAGAGGGGGAUGGAAUUCCGCGUGUAGCAGUGAAAUGCGUAGAUAUGCGGAGGAACACCGAUGGCGAAGGCAAUCCUCUGGGCCUGUACUGACGCUCAUGCACGAAAGCGUGGGGAGCAAAUAGGAUUAGAUACCCCCGUAGUCCCUGUCUCUUAUAC
rnacentral:rRNA from 1 species